CAUCAUCCCAUCUCCCGGCCUUCGCAUAGAUGUUUGAUAAUAAUGCAUAUCGACCACUAUUUUGUGGCUCCAACUGGAGCAAAAUCUUCCCUACUCUUUCACCUAAUUCUGCAUUUCCAUGUAUCCUACAAGCACCUAACAGUGCUCCCCAAACAGCAGCAUUUGGUUCCAUUGGCAUUGAAAAUAUGAGCUCCUCUGCCUCUGCCAAGAGCCCUGCUCUUCCUAGGAGAUCAACUACACAGCCAUAAUGCUCCAUCUCAGGCUCAAUAUCAUAAACUUUCUCCAUGGAUUCCAAUAUCUUUAGACCCUCAUCUACCAAUCCUUUAUGUGCACAAGCAUUCAAUAUACCCACAAAGGUGAUCCUAUUUGGCCUGAACUUCUCUCUUUGCAUCUUAAAGAAAAGCUCAAUUGCAUCCUCUGCUCUACCAUGCAUAGCUAGCCCACAAAUCAUAGCAUUCCAAGUGAAGACUUCUUUCUCUUUCAAAGUCUCGAAAACAUCCCAAGCCAUGUCGAGCCGCCCGCAUUUCAUGUACAUAUCCACCAGAGCAGUUCCUAAGACUGCAUCCAAAAAAUCAGGAUUCUUCUUCACAUAAGCAUGAAUCCAUCUUCCUUGAUCAAGAGCCCCCACAUUAGCACAUGCAGCUAGAACACUUGACAAAACAAAUUUCCUUGGCCUAAUUUCUUCUAUUUGCAUCACAUUAAAUACUUCCAGUGCCUCCUUAUAAUACCCUCCUUUGAUAUAACCAUCAAUCAUAGCACUCCAGGAUAUCUCAUCCUUUUCACUCAUAUCAUCAAACAACUCCCUUGCUUCUUUAACCAUCCCACACUUAGCCAAACCAGAUACCAUUGCAUUCCAAGAACCAAUACUUCUAUCCUCCAUUUUUUCAAACAAUUCUUUAGCCGAAUCCACAUCUCCGCACUUCAAAUACCCAUCAAUCAUCACAUUAAAACAAAUAACAUCCGAUUCUCCAUCCUCAUCUAGCAUUCUCCUAGCCUCCACCAUAUGACCAAAAGUUGCAUACAUUUGAAUCCCAGAACUUCUUAUAUGCCCAUCUCCACUAAGCCCUUGUUUAAUCACAUGAGCAUGCACUUGGACGCCUUCUUUGGUUGCUUCUGCAAUCCCACAAGCCUUCAACAGAGUAGGAUAAGUGAACUUAUUAGGCCUUGAAUUUGCAGAUACCAUCUCAUAGUAACAAGACGUGGCCUUAAAUGGUUCAUUAUUGUCUAAGCAACCCUUGAUAAUAAUGUUAUACACAAAAACAUUGGGAUUAGGGACAUGAUCAAAGACCUUAAAGGCUAAGUCCAGAUUGCUGAAACGGUGAUUAGCAUAGCAUUUCACUAAGGUGCCAGAAAUAUAAUGGUCUUGAAAAUGGCCGCUCCUCAAUAUCACAGCAUGGAGUUGCUUAAGAUUUUGCAGUGAAGUAAAGCAUGUAGUAUUUAGGAGGCCUAGGACUGUUUUCUGGGAUAAUUUGGAAGUGGGUUUGUUCUCUGUCGGUGAAAGAUGAUGAUGAUGAGGAAGAUUUAUUGUA
rnacentral:misc_RNA from 1 species